GAUGAACGCUGGCGGCGUGCCUAACACAUGCAAGUCGAGCGAAGCGCCUUACUUGAUUUCUUCGGGAUGAAAGUAUUGUGACUGAGCGGGCGACGGGUGAAGGUACGCGUAGAUAACCUGCCUCAUACAGGGGGAUAACAGUUAGAAAUGACUGCUAAUACCGCAUAAGCCCACGACCCGGCAUCGGGUUGAGGGAAAAAGGAGCAAUCCGCUUCGAGAUGGCCUCGCGUCCGAUUAGCUGGUUGGUGAGGUAACGGCCCACCAAGGCGACGAUCGGUAGCCGGACUGAGAGGUUGAACGGCCACAUUGGGACUGAGACACGGCCCAG
rnacentral:rRNA from 1 species